rnacentral:rRNA from 1 species
AUAAACGUUUGCGGCGUGCCUGAUGCAUGCAAGUCGAACGCCCUGAUUUUUCGCAAGAUUGAUCAGGGAGUGGCGAACGGCUGAGUAACACGUAAGUAACCUAUCCCUAAGUGGGGGAUAACUUGCCGAAAGGCAGGCUAAUACCGCAUGUGCUGGUAAGCGUCAGUUUAUCAGCAAAGCUUUUGCGCUUGGGGAGGGGCUUGCGUCUGAUUAGCUAGUUGGUAAGGUAACGGCCUACCAAGGCGAUGAUCAGUAGCUGGUCUGAGAGGACAACAGCCAGACGGGGACUGAGAUACGGCCCUGACUCCUACGGGAGGCAGCAGCAAGGAAUUUUGCGCAAUGGGCGAAAGCCUGACGCAGCGACGCCGCGUGGGGGAUGACGGCCUUCGGGUUGUAAACCCCUUUUUACGAGGAUGAGGAAGGACGGUACUCCCGGAAUAAGUCUCGGCUAACUACGU